rnacentral:misc_RNA from 1 species
GAUGAAGAACGUAGCGAAAUGCGAUAAGUAAUGUGAAUUGCAGAAUUCAGUGAAUCAUCGAAUCUUUGUACGCACAUUGCGCCCGCCAGUAUUCUGGCGGGCAUGCCUGUUCGAGCGUCAUUUCAACCAUCAAGCCCUGCUUGCGUUGGGGUCCUGCGGCUGCCCGCAGGCCCUGAAAACCAGUGGCGGGCUCGCUAGUCACACCGAGCGCAGUAAUACAUCUCGCUUUGGGCGUGCGGCGGGUUCUUGCCGUUAAACACCCCCUUUUUACCAAGGUUGACCUCGGAUCAGGUAGGAAUACCCGCUGAACUUAAGCAUAUCAAUAAGCGGAGGA